rnacentral:rRNA from 1 species
UACGGAGGGUGCGAGCGUUGUCCGGAAUCACUGGGCGUAAAGGGCGCGUAGGCGGCCUGAUAAGUAGGGGGUGAAAUCCUGCGGCUUAACCGCAGGGCUGCCUUCUAAACUGUCAGGCUGGAGCACAGUAGAGGCAGGUGGAAUUCCCGGUGUAGCGGUGGAAUGCGUAGAGAUCGGGAAGAACACCCGUGGCGAAGGCGGCUCUCUGGGACGGUACUGACGCUGAGACGCGAAAGCGUGGGGAGCGAACAGG